AAGAAAAAGAUACCCUUUAAUAACCAAUCAAUCAGUUUAUUAAUAUAAACAUAAAAACAAUUAUAGAACAAAGCCAAAUAAAUAACAAUUUAAGAAAAAGAAAACAAUUGAAUAUUGUAAUCAACCACAAAACCCAUUAAAAACGAAAAGAAAAAAAAGAAAAAAAGAAACGAGGCAACGAGGAGGAACCUGGAGGACCCAAAAGCACGCCAAGUGAGAGUACCCGAAAGAAACGAAGCAGAAACGGCCGAAAGAGAGCCCAGUGAUUAAAAUAGAAGAUCCCUCCACCAUCAACAUCCCCACCUCCGCCAACUUCUCCACCGCCGCCUUCAUCAUCUCCACCUCCACCAUCUCUGUGUAUUUUUAUUUAUUUCUCUUCUCCAAAGCUCGAAUACAUCCUUGUCAUGGACAAAAAGACUGCAAAAUCUUGGCUAAAGGCACAUGAGAGUGUUUUCUAUGGUUGUUUUCAUAGUGUCAAUGUCCAUGUGGUGUUUAACGCCAAAUACGCAGUGGACUAUGGUGUUUGCCUCUGGGCGGCUGGAGUCAGUGGCUAGUCGGGGAUAUUUACAGGUGAAGCCAUUUUUAAUUAGGUAAGAGAGUAGGAUUAUUGUUUAGUUUGUUGUAAUAAAAGCUUCUAAAGGAUAUGAAGCUGUUAUGUUGCAUAUAUAUUAAGUACAGGGAAAAUAAUUAAUUUGUCGUGAGUCCACUGUUACAUGGAAAGAGGGAAGUUGGCAAAUCUGCAAACUUGCUCGAGCUUGUGGCAGAAGACAAGGACGUCACUCAAAAGGAACAAACUUAGGACGUGCAGGGGAAAUCAAUGGACCUAGGUUCGUAGGUUCUUUGUAACAAAUUUUAACCUCUUUCAGAAAUACUCUAUUCAAUAUCCUGAAGUAAGCAAUUACUUCAUCUGUGUAUAUCAUUUUAGGUAAAACUAAGAGAAUGAAGUGUUUUGUCUUUUGUAAGUUGCAUUUUCUACUCAAUCUGGUGCUUACAAAUGAUUUCCAGGCUUAUUGGUCAAUUGUUCUAAGAGAGCUUUCAUUUGUAUUUCAUCAAGCCCAAAAGUGUACUCUUGACACCACUGACAAAUUGAAACAUCGGAGAACAUGGCUGCCAGGUUCAGUUCUGAAUACUGCUGAAUGCUGUUUGCAGUCUGCAAGUCAUCCUAGAAAAAAAGAUGAGAUUGUAGCAAUUGUGUAGAGAGAUGAAAAUGAUAAUUCCAAAGUGAAUCAUAUGACAUUGAAAGAACUUCAAGAACAGUUGGUGGCUAAUGCACUAGAUGCAAUGUUUACAAAGGGCGAUGCGAUGGCAAUUGACAUGCCAAUGACAGUCAAUGCUGUUGUUACAUACUUGGCUACUGAAUUAGCAGGAUUUGUUGUUUUAUUGAUAGCUGACAGCUUUGCAGCCAAGGAAAUUGCCAGUGGUUUGCAUAUUUUCAAUGCUGAAGCUAUCUUUACUCAGUCUGCAUAUGAUACUCUGUCUCUGUCUCCUCCUUACUCUUUUGGGGCUCUGAUACCUGCCUAGAGGAGUACGAAAAUUUCCAUUGCAUAGAGAGCAACCCCUUAUAAGAGUUCAUUCAAAGUUUGCUUGGAGAAUGAUCUGCAAGUAGCAACUGAAUGGUGUCACUGUCAGGUAUGAGAAGUGAAGUAAGCAAUUGAUUCUGCCCCAAAAUGAGAUGGGAUGAAAGUAUCUCAGUGCCUAUCUGUCUCUGGUUGAGUGCCUCCCAUUUUUAUGUCAUUUGGGUUGAGCUGAGGCUGGCCUCUAAAAUAUUGAAUCAAAUGAGCUUCAUACCUUGGUGGAAGCCCUUAUUUGGAGCACCUAAUGUCAUAGAAACGAGUUACAGCUAUCAGUGGCUUUCUACUUGAUGAUAAUGAUGAGACUGAUGACAAGUUACUAUGUUUAGGCUCAUCUGAUUGGGGACGUUGAUUGACAACCAUUGGGGGAAGGUGGUGGCUACAGCUCGGAGUCCUGAUAUGAAUUGGUCGACGAUGGCAAUGACAAGCUUCUGAGGGAAAGAACGGCACUACUAGUUUUCUGCUAUUCUUCCACUGAGAAGAACCAGACCAACCAACAUCUAGAAAUUUUUUUAAGCCUUGCAAAACAUUUUCUUUUUUUUUGUUUUGGCCCCCUUUUAAUUAUUUUUAAAAUUUUUCCUCAUCCCCCUUAAUUAUUUUGGAGUAUCCUUCAUUGAUGAUCUUUCUCAAAUACCUUUCGUGUCCCUCAAUCCGUCGCUGAAGGGCUUUUUGUACCUAUGUCAAGCAUAUUCAAAUAUAUUUUUUGGAUGAAUAUUGCAUUUGGGAAUAGAUAUCUAAAUUUCAAUUCCUGGUAAUUUUUUUAA